AAGCUUUUAUAGUCAUUUCAGAAGCAGGGGGCACCCGGCCAGCGUGGGGGGAGCACCCAAGAGUCACUGUGAGGAGGCCCCUUGCUCUGAGAAUCAGGUGCAACCAUUCAGAUCAGGCAGGUUUGGGGCAAGCAGGUCUGGGCUCUGCAGCAGGUACAGCACAAUCAGUCAAAGCAAACACGGCCUCUGCAAACACGGCCAGGAAACCGUGACAGUGUCCAUUGUUCCUGCACGGGUGGUCUGUUGGCAUCGGCGUCACGAGGACUCCCGUCUGUCAGUUGGUAGCUAUACCCUUUCUUUACCCCCCCUUUCUCUCCCUCUCUCUCUCCCUCUCUUCUUUCCCCUUCUUUUCUAUCGCAUAACUGUGUGUAUCAAUAAAGAUACAAUUGAUUUCACUUGAA